GGGUUGUGAGGUUAAGCGACUAAGCGUACACGGUGGAUGCCCUGGCAGUCAGAGGCGAUGAAGGACGUGCUAAUCUGCGAAAAGCGCCGGCGAGGUGAUAUGAACCCUUGACCCGGCGAUGUCCGAAUGGGGAAACCCAGUGUGUUCCGACACACUAUCGUUAACUGAAUACAUAGGUUAACGAGGCGAACCGGGGGAACUGAAACAUCUAAGUACGACGAGGAAAAGAAAUCAACCGACAUUCCCCCAGUAGCGGCGAGCGAACGGGGAGGAGCCAGGAGUAUGAAUCAGCUGAGGUGUUAGUGGAACGGUCUGGAAAGGCCGCCGGUCCAG
rnacentral:rRNA from 1 species